UUUCCGUAGGUGAACCUGCGGAUGGAUCAUUACAGAGUUAUCUACCUCCCAAACCAAUGUGUACUUACCAUUUGUUGCCUCGGCAGAGCCUACCCGGUAACUGUUCGGAGAAGCUACCCUGUAGCUACCCUGUAACGGCCUACCCUGUAACGCACUGCCGGUGGACUUUUAAACUCUUGUUAUUUUAUAGUAAUCUGAGCGUCUUAUUUUAAUAAGUCAAAACUUUCAACAACGGAUUUCUUGGUUCUGGCAUCGAUGAAGAACGCAGC
rnacentral:misc_RNA from 1 species